GUAAGGAAUAUUGGUCAAUGGGGGCAACCCUGAUCCAGCCAUGCCGCGUGUGUGAAGAAGGCCUUUUGGUUGUAAAGCACUUUAAGCGAGGAGGAGGCUUACCUGGUUAAUACCUGGGAUAAGUGGACGUUACUCGCAGAAUAAGCACCGGUUAACUCUGUGCCAGCAGCCGCGGUAAUACAGAGGGUGCAAGCGUUAAUCGGAUUUACUGGGCGUAAAGCGCGCGUAGGUGGCUAAUUAAGUCAAAUGUGAAAUCCCCGAGCUUAACUUGGGAAAUGCAUUCGAUACUGAUUAGCUAGAGUAUGGGAGAGGAUGGGAGAAUUCCAGGUGUAGCGGUGAAAUGCGUAGAGAUCUGGAGGAAUACCGAUGGCGAAGGCAGCCAUCUGGCCUAAUACUGACACUGAGGUGCGAAAGCAUGGGGAGCAAACAGGAUUAGAAACCCGAGUAGUCC
rnacentral:rRNA from 1 species